UCAUGAAUUAUACAACAAGUUGUGGCGCAGAGGUCAGAGCCUGGGAAGGGUCUGGUGUGGGGUACAGCCAUGGAGAAUUUGUGUGCGUCUCCCUCCACACACCCAUUGCUCUCACCUGCAACCCACCAGACAGUUGACUGGACUCCAUCUCUCUGAAAGACACCCUCAAAGCUUCUAAGCAAAGUUUUCAACGUUCUGGAAAAAAAGAAGAAAAAAAAGACACAAAAUUUCAAGCAAAGGAAGCAGAAAGGGAUGCAAGUUAUGUCUUUGCACCAGGGCUCUAAAGAUGAAAGGUGCCAUCCCAUUAGGAGCUGCUUGUUCUGCAGGCAGGGAGGGGCAGAAGGUACCAACCGUCGUUACAUACUUCUUCACGAUGCUCGCAGAAGUGGGACUGUGCUUGGAAAAUCACACAAAGUUUGACACCUCCCAGGGCGGUUCAUGAUUCGUGACCUUUGGGUGUGUAAUGCCAGAGAGCACACAGCACAGACCCUAGGAUUUGGAAGAGAACAAGCUGCAGUGUGUGAGGUUACAGAUGAAGAAAAAAACGAUCAUCAGGAACGGGGUGCAUUUCCUUGGAAACAUCCUUGUGUGUUUGUUAACGUUUUUUGUUGCUAUGGCAAAAUAGCCAGAGUUGGUUCGAAUGCCCUGGGAGGGGCGGUCCAUCAGGACUGAGAAUCUUGUCGGAAGUGGGAGGGGCGGGGAGGGACAGUGGGUCCUUUGCAGUCUAAGACAGCGCUCAACUAGAUGUUUCUUUUUUUUUUUUUUCUUCCUCUUUAUUCAGUCCUUCUAGGAGAUACUGCCUCCUUUUAAAGUCUUCUCCUCCCUCGGUUAAAAUGAAAAUGCCCCCAGAGAUAUCCAGAGAUAAGGUUCCUUAGCCUUUCAAAGCCAAUCUCUGUUUGAAAUGAAGGUUAAAAACCACACCUUUUGCAUUUUGAUUUUGUUUUUGUCGUUCUGGUUGUUGGUGGUGUUUUUUGUCCUUUUUCUUUUCUUCUGGGGUCUUGGACCUCCACACCCAGCCCCACCUUGCAUUUUGAAAGUUAAAUUUAUUCGAAGUAAUUUAACUUUUAAGAUAACAGUAUCAGGCUUGUUUUCCAGAAUUUUUUUUUUCCAGAUAAAACCUUCUAGUUAAGCGUUGUGUUUACGUUCCAGGGGCAGAGAACCCAGAGGCUUAUCUCAGGGUGAGUGAGCAAACUGCCAAGAGGAAUUCUCACUUCCUGUUCAGGGAUGCAGGCUUUGGGGAAGUCUUGUCUCAAGAGGAGACACUAAAGUUGGUCUUGUCAAGGAAUCCAAGAAAAGAUUGUCUUCCGAGUCUUAGUUCUCCCAGCCUGCACUGCCCACCCUCAAUGUACUGAUAAAACAGGAUUUAAAGGUGGAGAUGAACUGAACAUGACUCAUGCACAGUAAGAAUAAACAAACCCAAAGGUUGAAACGAUAAAAAUAUAUAAUCAGGAGGGGCAUUGCUACUGGGAUUAUAUUUCACAGAAAAAAAGUGUGCUAUUAUUUUUAUACUAAUUUCAAAGGAAAAGAAGAAAGCAGAAGUGCUGUGCACUCGAGUCUUAGUCUCUGUUUCUUUUCUUACCAUAUUUUAAAAGUAAAGGU